AGAGUUUGAUUAUGGCUCAGGAUGAACGCUAGCGACAGGCUUAACACAUGCAAGUCGAGGGGCAGCGGAGGCAGUAGCAAUACUGCCUGCCGGCGACCGGCGCACGGGUGAGUAACACGUAUGCAACCUACCCUUGUCAGGGGGAUAAGCCGGAGAAAUCCGGUCUAAUACCGCGUGACAUCGGGAUUCCGCAUGGGAUUCCGAUCAAAGGAGCAAUCCGGACAAGGAUGGGCAUGCGGCGCAUUAGCUAGUUGGCGGGGUAACGGCCCACCAAGGCGACGAUGCGUAGGGGUUCUGAGAGGAAGGCCCCCCACACUGGUACUGAGACACGGACCAGACUCCUACGGGAGGCAGCAGUGAGGAAUAUUGGUCAAUGGGCGCGAGCCUGAACCAGCCAAGUCGCGUGAGGGAAUAAGGUCCUAUGGAUUGUAAACCUCUUUUGUCGGGGAGCAAUGAGCGUCACGCGUGAUGCGUUGAGAGUACCCGAAGAAAAAGCAUCGGCUAACUCCGUGCCAGCAGCCGCGGUAAUACGGAGGAUGCGAGCGUUAUCCGGAUUUAUUGGGUUUAAAGGGUGCGUACG
rnacentral:rRNA from 1 species